CUGCUCAGGCCUGUGAGUCUCUUACAUUUUGGAACUCUCUACACUCCUGUAACUUUCUGUUUGCUUGCUAUUUAGGGAAUUGUCACCAAAAUACUCAAUGUCCAAGCUGGUCUCUUUUUACUGGAUAACCAAGUCUGCUUGUGCCUUGCUUACCUCCCAGUGUUGAAAUCUGCACGUGGACUCCGGCCAGGAGCAUGUGUGGAACUCAUCGAUGUCCACCUCCUGCAGAAGCCUCUUGUAUCCUUCCCUUUCAUUGUACUUGGUGCAUGCCUGAGCAGCACUGUUGUGCUGAAGAGGUUUUCAAGGCUCAGCACCCCCUACCAGCCACCAACCUCUUCAGGAAAUCUCUGCUUACAGCUGCUCUUCCGCUACAAUCUUGGUAUGCCACUCUACCUCUGGCUGGUGAGCCUCCUGGAGACCUUUGAGGAGAGGUUUUCCUGUUUCUUUGGGCGCCGUCAACUGCUUAGUUGUACUCACCAAAACCCAGGAGCUGCUGAAAAGUUCCUUGUCCCCCUUCUGCAAGCUAUGGUGCCAGACAGAGAGAAAGCAAGAGAUAUUUAUAACGAAAUUCUAGCAAAAGUACACCAUUGUCCCCUGCAGAAAGUGAGUAAAUGCUCUGUGAGCUGUUUGCUGUUUGUCUGAAGGGAAGAAAAUCAGCUGAUUCAUUCUUUCUCUCUUUUUUCAUAGUAUUUGACUCUGGACCCCCCAUGCCAGGCCCCAUCUCUGUCUGCAGUUUGCCAUGUGGCCCAACAGAAGAGCUGGGAAGGCUUCAGUCCAUCGCAGUUGCUCUCUCCCUUGGAAGCACAGCAUAUGGGCACCCAGGACCUGAAUCGCAGACUGGUCUGGUCCUACUGCACACUCUCAGCAGGAAGUUUCCAGCCCCGACUAAUACUGCUGGGUGUGCUGAGGGUCUCAUCCAGGAGCGGUUCGCUCCAGCUGCAGGACAAGAGCGGCACACUUCACUGUGUGAUAUCCCAGAAGGAUGGUAGCCCCUUUGCCAAUACAGCUCUCAUAGGAUCACUCUUGCAGGUGGAAAACUACCAACUUGUAGUGGAGAGAUUCCUUCAGACUGAUUUUCCCUCCUGGGAACACCUGGAAAAUCUUGAACAUGUGAGGGAGAAAAAAACCAGGUGAGUCCCUUUAUUCAGUAUGCAAGUAAAAUCAUGACUCUCCAGUUCC
rnacentral:lncRNA from 1 species